rnacentral:rRNA from 1 species
GACGAACGCUGGCGGCGUGCUUAACACAUGCAAGUCGAACGGACAGGCCCUGCUUUUGUGGGGUUCUCGAGUGGCGAACGGGUGAGUAACACGUGAGUAACCUGCCCUUGACUUUGUGAUAACUUCAGGAAACUGGGGCUAAUACCCGAUAUGAGCUCCUGCUGCAUGGUGGUGGUUGGAAAGUUUCGGCGGUUGGGGAUAGACUCGCGGCUUAUCAGCUUCUUGGUGGGGUAGUGGCUUACCAAGGCUUAGACGGGUAGCCGGCCUGAGAGGGUGACCGGCCACAAGGGGACUAAGAUACGGACCAGACGCCUACGGGAGGCAGCAGUGGGGAAUAUGGCGGAAUGGGCGGAAGCCUGAUGCAGCAACGCCGCGUGCGGGAUGACGGCCUUCGGGUUGUAAACAGAUUUCGCAUGUGACGAAGCGGGAGUGACGGUAAUGGGUAAAGAAGCAACGGCUAACUACGUG